rnacentral:rRNA from 1 species
CCUACGGGUGGCAGCAGUGAGGAAUAUUGGUCAAUGGGCGAGAGCCUGAACCAGCCAAGUCGCGUGAGGGAAGACGGUCCUAUGGAUUGUAAACCUCUUUUGCCGGGGAGCAAAAAGCGGUACGUGUACCGCAUCGAGAGUACCCGGAGAAAAAGCAUCGGCUAACUCCGUGCCAGCAGCCGCGGUAAUACGGAGGAUGCGAGCGUUAUCCGGAUUUAUUGGGUUUAAAGGGAGCGUAGGCGGGUUGUUAAGUCAGUUGUGAAAGUUUGCGGCUCAACCGUAAAAUUGCAGUUGAUACUGGCAUCCUUGAGUACAGUAGAGGUAGGCGGAAUUCGUGGUGUAGCGGUGAAAUGCUUAGAUAUCACGAAGAACUCCGAUUGCGAAGGCAGCCUGCUGGACUGUAACUGACGCUGAUGCUCGAAAGUGUGGGUAUCAAACAGGAUUAGAUACCCCAGUAGUC